UACAGAGGGUGCAAGCGUUAAUCGGAAUUACUGGGCGUAAAGGGCGCGUAGGUGGUUGCGUAAGAGAGAUGUGAAAUCCCCGGGCUUAACCUGGGAAUUGCAUCUUUAACUGCGUAGCUGGAGUGCAGUAGAGGGUAGUGGAAUUUCUGGUGUAGCGGUGAAAUGCGUAGAUAUCAGAAGGAACACCAGUGGCGAAGGCGGCUACCUGGACUGACACUGACACUGAGGCGCGAAAGCGUGGGGAGCAAACAGG
rnacentral:rRNA from 1 species